rnacentral:tRNA from 3 species
GGGGCUGUGGCCUAGUCUGGUAAGGCGAUGGGCUCCAGCGGAUAAAUGAUGAACAACGGGUCUACCGAGUCUUUCCCGACGGGGCAGGACAAUGAGGAGCCGUUGGAGCACUGAUAGAUGCUCACCAGAAACUGUACUAGCAGUUGUUCGGAGAUACCCGUCGAUCGUGAGUUCGAAUCUCACCAGCCCCA